rnacentral:lncRNA from 1 species
AAAAACCGAUUUUGACUCAUAUCAGUUGUGUUAGUUGCGAGAACAACACAAGCUGAUGUAGUAUGAUUAAGUACCAUCAUACUACAGCAGAUUGACUUGUAGCAACUAAUACCGUUGCUCGCUUGCCCAGCAUCAAGGCUCAGGCAGAGACUAGGGGGCAGCCCCUUUACCGAGAUCCUCCCAGCAGGUCAACCAGGCAUGCCAAAUGGUAUCCCCCAGCCUCCAUCCCAAAGUCCUGGACCACUGCUCUUCCCAGCAUCCCGGCAUGGCUGCACGCCUUCUUCUUAUAAAACAUCAUUGGGAUGUUGAUCAAUCCCUUCUUCUUUGUUUUCUUGGAUGGAGCACUGAUGAGUUGAGGCAGCAACAUGGAGGUGGUGAUCGUCAUAGAUCUGCUCCAAGGGAAGUGCAGGAAUAUCCAUUGAAUAUCUAGUGUACACCUAAACUAGGUUCCGAAUAGGCACUGUUGAUCAAUAGCACAUCCAAACCAUCUAGAUAUACCUGUUGUGUAGGAAGGCACAUGCAAGCAAGGAGGCAAUGGUGUGUGUGGCAGCCGUGUGGUGGCAGGCAAUGAGGCAAUGAGUUCUCUAGUGCCAGGCAAGGCAAUAGUUUCAAGGCUAGGCAAAAUGACCAAAUAAGUGAUUGCUGGUAACAAUUCAAAUGUGCUCACUUAACUUGAUAAUAGUCUUUCUUUGUCCCAAGCAUACAGCGAUAGUGCCUUUGCUUACAAGUUAGGCGUUUUGGGGUGGGAGAGGUUGUAUCAAGAAUUUCAGUACGUAGAAAAAAUCUACACCUUCACCCUAGCUGCUAGUCCACUCUCUUCUAGGUAGCAUAGAUUUUCUUCAGGUACUAAAAUUCUCGAGCCUCUCCUGCCCCAAGACACCCACUUUGUAGACAAAAACACCAUUGCUAUAUGCUUGGGACAAAGAAGAACCAUCAUCAAGUCGAAUGUGGAUUGUUGCCGACAAUCGCCUACUCAAUCUUUUUGCCCAACCCUAGAACCAUUGCCUUGUUGUUCUUCUUGCCUAAUGCCAAAGGGCUUAUCGCCUCCUUACCUACUGCUACACGCCACCAUCACCUCCUUGCCUUCACACGCCUUGCUCGAUGAACCUCUCCCACCUCUCUUCAUCAUACCCUAUCUAGCCCUAGUUCUUCAGCCGAAGAAGCAAGAGCCUUGGUAUAUCUAGA